AUGCAUCGGUCGUCGAGCUACUACCUGUCAUCCUCUUCGUCGUCGUCGUCUUCUGCGGUGGCGGCGUCGUCGGUGCCUGGUGGGCCGAGCGGGAAUGCGGGGAUGGACGUGGACCAGCUGCCGGUGUACGACCCGCACUCGGACACGGCCAAGAAAGAGGCCCUCGACGCCUCCCGUGCCAACCUCGCCCACGCCCUUGUCCACCUCGUCCCCGUCGUCGUCCUCCUCUGCGGGCUCCUCCUCUGGUCGCUCUCCACCACCCCCGUCCCCCCUCCGCCGGUGGGCGUGAUUGUGCUAAAGAAGGAGAGACUAAUGGCGCUGAAGAGUGGGCCCGAGCACAGCUCGAACGGCCCUCGCAUGGUGGCUGCGAUGGAGGAUCCGGAUCCGGUAGGCAACACUGUUGGGAAAAGAAUAAAGGACGGAUUUAAGAAAUGA
rnacentral:rRNA from 1 species